rnacentral:rRNA from 1 species
UGGGGAAUAUUGCACAAUGGGGGAAACCCUGAUGCAGCGACGCCGCGUGAGCGAAGAAGGUUUUCGAAUCGUAAAGCUCUGUCCUAUGAGAAGAUAAUGACGGUAUCAUAGGAGGAAGCCCCGGCUAAAUACGUGCCAGCAGCCACGGUAAUACGUAUGGGGCGAGCGUUGUCCGGAAUUAUUGGGCGUAAAGGGUACGUAGGCGGUCUAUUAAGUCAGGUGUGAAAGCGUGAGGCUUAACCUCAUUAAGCACUUGAAACUGAUAGACUUGAGUGAAGGAGAGGAAAGUGGAAUUCCUAGUGUAGCGGUGAAAUGCGUAGAUAUUAGGAGGAAUACCGGUGGCGAAGGCGACUUUCUGGACUUUUACUGACGCUCAGGUACGAAAGCGUGGGGAGCAAACAGG